rnacentral:sRNA from 14 species
UCGACGGACUUCGGCAAAGGUAUUCAGUAGGGUUUCAAAUAAUCCAAAAUCCUGCCACAAAUCCAAUUGGCAUUCUUCCCAAGAAAUAAUCCCCUUAACCGACCAAUGUAAUAUAAGAAAACUGUAGAUACAAUCACAUCGUAUUUAAGUAUAAAUUAAACUAAUGGUCUCUUUGGUUGAGAUUUUGGUAGAUUUUCAUCAUUCAAGUGUAAGCAAGUGAGAAUUUCUAAAAGAGAAAUUUGUGUGCAUGCAAAAUUAAAAUUUUCCAAUGGGCUACCAUAAAUGAAAGGACAUCAUCAAUUGAUGACAUUUAGUUUGAGGUGCAACUAUGGUGGUUGGCUGGGGGAAUUAGAUUUUUAUUCAUUUGCAGUGGGCAAUGGCCAUGGAUAAAAGAGAGAUAACAUUGGUGUUCUAGGGAAAUUUCGACGUCGUUUGGUGUGGAAAGGUUCUUCUCUAUUUUACCUGAGGAACGUGUGUCCGCAAUCGUCAUCCUGCAAAGUCGCAGGGAUACCAAACACGAAUACCUCCCCUGUCGAAAGCGGCUUUUUUGUCAACGAAAUCAUGUGUUUUUUUUUUUCUGUUUUAAAACCAAGGCGUUGUCGUUUAACUUUUGUGACUUCCGCAUCAUACAAACCUAAUUGGAAAUUAAGCGGAGAGUGAAAUUGCUGCAAAUGAAGGAAUUUUCCAAAUUUACAUUCAAGUGAGAAAACUAAUUUUUGCCGCACCUGAGUAUUUGGUAGUUAAAUGUAAGGUGCUCCAGAAAUCAUUUCCAGCAGUCAUUUAUAUGGGAGCUAUAUCUGAACAGGAACCGACUAGACCAAUGUUCAAUUUCUGCUAUACCCAGGGUGACGUUACCGAUGAUGGAUAUAACAUACACACACAUACACACACACACACACACUUUAACGGAACUGACCUCAUCCACAUAAUAAUCAGUACGCACUACUCGGUAUGGCUACGUUACGGUAGAGCGAGAAGUAUAUUUUGGAGCACUUGCUGUUCGGAUGACAUUAUCUGUGCUGAAUGACAUUACCUAAAGUGGCUAUUAGGGCAAGGAUAAAGGUUUUACGACGAUGAUGGCAUAUUAAAUAAAGUGUUAAAAGACUUGAGGAAAUUGUGGAUAACAAAUGAAAGGUGCCAAGAAUGAAUAACUUCCAAGAGAGUUGACAUAAUUUGUUACAGUUUUCAUGCAGAGAAGAUUCGGUGAACACAAUGAAUUUCCUUAUGAAUAUCAAUUGGCAGCAAAGAUCUAAUUUGAAUGCGUAUUUUUGGCCCUUUUACCCUCUGUAUAAAGAUGUAUUUUUAACAUGAGGCUAUUAACAUAAUCCAACCCUUGUCUUCGAAAGAAUUAACUAGGUCAUUGUGGAAUGUAAAACAUGUCCAGAAAGUUAAAGAAGUCAUAACUAAAUCUCAAAAAGAAAACCCUUUUGCCAAGAAAAAAAAAUCUAAACCAGAAAUAAGUGUUUAAAAGUGGAAGGUGAGAACAAAAUUGACCAUUCAUUUUGUUUUCUCCGCCAGCGAUUACGUGGUUGUUAUUUGAAUUGUAAAAUUAUUUGCUUAAUAAA